GGAGACUGAGAGGGACUGGCGGCGGUCGGGCGGAGACGGAGACGGGCGGGAGACGGAGAGAGGUGUCUCGGAGACGGGAGACGGCCGGUGAGCCGGCCUGGCGGACGGCAGCGGAACUGGAGGCAGCAGAGGAGGCGGUGGUGUUUGAAUAUUACUGGCCCUGAGGUCUCAAGGACGGCUCGCUACUAAAAUGAGCGAGUGAUGGUGACUGGCGAUAUCGUCUGUGACAAACCGUGCAAGAAGGGUUUGAUAAUAUCACACCCAUUCCUUAUCAACUUAUCAGGAAGACGGAUUGUGUUGUAUGGCAGUUGAGUGGCUGUCUGACAAAGAUGAUGUGUGAUUGAUUAGCGGUGUGGGCGAAUAAGCCAAGUGCAUUUAGUGGUUUCUUGUCAGUGGUGGAAGCUUGACGAUUGACUUCGCGGAGCAGGGCGGACUUCUGUCACUCCGGAAUUGAAAGACAACUGCUAGCUGCUGCAUUAACAACCCAGUCGCGGAGGAAGAUGCUGGGGUUCCGUGAGGUGGACAUCUGGUCUCGGCACCAUGAGAUCCACGCCAUGCGCGGCCAGAUCAACGCUUCCUGUCUCUGGAACGCCUGUCGAAUUAUGACGCUUGGCAUAACGCUCAUCGGACUCGGUGUUACCAUGGCAACCAUAGGCUACUGCCAGCAGCCGCCGGUGUCCGGUCCGGCCUACCGUCCAUUCAGCGCUCUGUUGAACGGUUCGCAGACGGCCCGGCCGGUGCUCGGGGCUGACGGAAUCACCUACAGACACCUGUCCUACCUGGGCUCGGUCGU